GAUGAACGCUAGCUACAGGCUUAACACAUGCAAGUCGAGGGGUAACGAGAGGGAAGCUUGCUUUCCUUGUCGACGACCGGCGGAUGGGUGAGUAACGCGUAUCCAACCUGCCCUUCAGUAAGGGAUAGCCUUUCGAACGAAAGAAUAAUACCUUUGUGAUCGUCUGAUGACAUCAGACGACGAUGAAAGAUUUAUCACUUAAGGACGGGGAUUCGUACCAUUAGGGAGUAGGAUGGGUAACGGCCCACCUAACCUACGAGGGGUAGGGGUUCUGAGAGGAAGGUCCCCCACAUUGGAACUGAGACACGGUCCAAACUCCUACGGGAGGCAGCAGUGAGGAAUAUUGGUCAAUGGCCGUAAGGCUGAACCAGCCAAGUAGCGUGCAGGAUGACGGCCCUAUGGGUUGUAAACUGCUUUUAAACGGGGAUAAAGUGAGCCACGUGUGGUUUAUUGCAGGUACCGUUUGAAUAAGGACCGGCUAAUUCCGUGCCAGCAGCCGCCGUAA
rnacentral:rRNA from 1 species